AUGGUGAACAUGCCUAAGACCCGCCAGACAUUCUGCAAGAAAUGUGGGAAGCACCAACCCCACAAGGUGACACAGUACAAGAAGGGCAAGGAUUCUCUGUAUGCCCAGAGAAAACGACGUUAUGACAGGAAACGGAGUGGCUAUGGUGGGCAAACUAAACCUAUUUUCUGCAAAAAGGCUAAAACUACAAAGAAGAUUGUGCUGACACUGGAGUGCGUUGAGCCCAACUGCAGAUCUAAGAGGAUGCUAGCUAUUAAGAGAUGCAAGCAUUUUGAAUUGGGAGGAAACAAGAAGAGAAAGGGCGGGCUGGU
rnacentral:lncRNA from 1 species